AACGAACGCUGGCGGCAGGCUUAACACAUGCAAGUCGAACGGGUGUAGCAAUACAUCAGUGGCAGACGGGUGAGUAACACGUGGGAACCUUCCUAGGGGUACGGAACAACUCAGGGAAACUUGAGCUAAUACCGUAUACGUCCGUGAGGAGAAAGAUUUAUCGCCCUUAGACGGGCCCGCGUCGGAUUAGGUAGUUGGUGGGGUAACGGCCUACCAAGCCUACGAUCCGUAGCUGAUCUUAGAGGAUGAUCAGCCACACUGGGACUGAGACACGGCCCAGACUCCUACGGGAGGCAGCAGUGGGGAAUCUUGGACAAUGGGCGCAAGCCUGAUCCAGCCAUGCCGCGUGAGUGAAGAAGGCCUUAGGGUUGUAAAGCUCUUUUACCAGGGACGAUAAUGACGGUACCUGGAGAAUAAGCCCCGGCAAACUUCGUG
rnacentral:rRNA from 2 species